AAAUGCCCGAAAUAACCCGGAGCGUGUUCUCAGGUCGACCACGAAACCUUCGUCUUCUUCAAAUGGCAAGACAAAAAAAUUGUCGUUGUUUUUUUAGCUCCUUCCAUCCGGACUCCCGAACAAGACAGGCUGCCCAAAUUCUGAAAUCUCGCUCAAUUCAUAAUAAAAAGCCCGAACAAAACAUUCUGCUCCCGAUCGAUUCAGGUUUCAUCCUUUCGGCAUUUUCCGCGUAACCUCCUAGCUGAAAUCGAAUUUCGUACCUCUUGCUCCUUCGUUGUUCUUCGACUUCGCUCCUUCAACGACGUUCCCUUUCUGUCACGAAAAUUUAGGGUUUAUCGGAAUCAACGACGGUAGAUAGCUCGCUCUGCAAGGUAACUUUCUUCCUUUCUUCUUCUGCUCAUUCCGCCUUGAGAUUUACGGGCACAAAUCUCGUUUGCCAAGAUUUUGCAAAAUUCGGCAUUUUCCUCUCUGUCACGGCUGUUGUGUCGUGGAAAGUCCACGGGCCAUGUCUCAGAAAUGUGAAUACAGUAAUGUAUUUUAAUCUUUGCGGAUUCGCUUGAGGCUGAGACACGCUUGUGGAACCUAUGACAGCUUGAAACUGAAUAUUACCUGGCCGCAUCUUCACAGUAAUUCAUAGCCUCAUGGAAGGUUAACAGAACGUGGCUUACAUUACAGCAGCUCCUUUUUUUCCAGAAUCAAUACUUCGUACUCCCGCUUGGCUGCUCGUUCACAAGAGGCGUUCUUCUUUGUAUUUCAAGUGGUUCAACUUAUUUCUUCCGAUCAUCAGCAACGUCAAGCUUCUUCCAUUGUUUCAGAUGGGAACUCAAAAAGAAGGAUGUGCACCUGCAUCAUGGGACUUAGAUAUGACUUUAACAUAUUGUGAUAUAUGUAUAAGAGAAAUUGAACUGGGAAAUAGACCAACCACGCAUUUUACUAAAGAAGGUUGGAAAAAUCUA